AUGGAGAGCGAGACGGCGGCGCGCGGUGGCCGGAGCCAGCCGCUGGCGGAGGAGGCGGUGGGGUCCAGCCGCACCAUGGAGCGCGUCGCGGCUGCGAAGAAGAUCAUCGAGAACGACUACCGCGAGCGCAUGAAGAAUCUCCGGGAGCGCAACGAGAGCCGGCCUCGCGGCGCCAUUGUCCAAGAAAAUCAAGGACGCUUGAUUUUGGAACAACAGCUAGCUUCUUCUCAAGUUCCUAGGGAGGAGCAGAUAAAAUUGAUAAAGGAGUUGCAGAGGAAGGAGACUGAAUACAUGAGACUUAAAAGGCAUAGAAUUUGUGUGGAUGACUUUGAGCUGCUCACCAUCAUUGGAAGAGGUGCUUAUGGGGAGGUUCAACUAUGCCGGGAUAAAUCCUCUGGUAAUAUUUAUGCAAUGAAAAAACUAAAGAAGUCUGAAAUGGUUGUCAAGGGUCAGGUGGAGCAUGUUAGAUCUGAAAGAAACUUGCUGGCUGAAGUUGGUAGCCACUGCAUUGUGAAGCUAUACUAUUCUUUCCAAGAUGCUGAGUAUCUCUACCUUAUCAUGGAGUACCUUCCUGGAGGUGAUAUGAUGACCCUCCUCAUGAGAGAGGAUACCUUAACUGAAAAUGUGGCUCGAUUCUAUAUUGCUGAGACAGUUCUUGCCAUUGAGUCUAUUCAUAAACAUAAUUACAUCCACAGGGAUAUUAAGCCUGAUAAUCUCCUUCUCGAUAAGAAUGGACACAUGAAGUUGUCAGAUUUUGGCUUAUGCAAGCCAAUUGACUGUACCAAAUUGUCAACCUUGAAUGAAGAUGAACCUAUGACUGAUGAAAACCUUAGGGAGUCCAUGGAUAUUGAUUACUCUCUCUCUGAUACAGCAAAUGGUAGAAGGUGGAGAAGUCCAAAUGAACAGCUUCAGCAUUGGCAGAAGAACAGGAGAAAAUUGGCAUUUUCUACUGUCGGUACGCCUGAUUAUAUUGCUCCUGAGGUUUUACUGAAAAAGGGAUAUGGAGUUGAGUGUGACUGGUGGUCCCUGGGUGCAAUCAUGUAUGAGAUGCUUGUUGGGUAUCCACCAUUCUAUUCUGAUGAUCCAAUAACCACAUGCCGAAAGAUUGUACAUUGGAGAAGCUAUUUAAAAUUUCCAGAAAAUCCAAGGUUGUCUCCUGAAGCUAAGGAUCUGAUUUGUCGGUUCUUAUGUGAUGUUGACCACAGGAUUGGCAGUGGAGGAGCAGAUCAAAUAAAGGCUCAUCCUUGGUUUCAUGGAGUUGAAUGGGAUAAGCUUUAUGAAAUGGAGGCGGCGUUUAAGCCUCAAGUAAAUGAUGAACUGGAUACACAGAAUUUUCAGAAGUUUGAUGAGGUAAAUCCCGCUCCAGCAAGAACAGGUUCUGGGUCCUCAAGGAAGAUGAUUCCUAAUUCUAAAGACCUUAGCUUUGUGGGCUAUACAUACAAGAACUUCGAAGCUGUGAAAGGUUUGCGUCAGUCUGCAGGUCUGGGAAGAAGCUCCUCGUUUACAAGCCAGCCUAGUGAAUCUGCAUCUAAUACAGCCGACAUGGAUUCAUCAGCAGAACCCAAUGGAAGCGAAACACACAUGCGCACUGUUUCGUCUGCCGAUCAUAUGAUGCAAUAA
rnacentral:rRNA from 1 species